rnacentral:rRNA from 1 species
UACGUAGGGUGCAAGCGUUGUUCGGAGUUACUGGGCGUAAAGGGUGUGUAGGCGGUUCUCUAAGUUUGGUGUGAAAUCUCCCGGCUCAACCGGGAGGGUGCGCCGAAAACUGGAGGGCUAGAGUGCGGGAAGGGAGAGUAGAAUUCCUGGUGUAGCGGUGAAAUGCGUAGAUAUUGGGAGGAACACCAGUGGCGAAGGCGGCUCACUGGACCGGUUCUGACGCUGAUGCGCGAAAGCGUGGGGAGCAAACGGG